AUGAAAAAGAUCACUUCUUAUUAUUGUUCUCUCUUUUCUUUCACAAACAGGUUGAGUUUGAAGAACAAGAAAAACAGUAGAGGUCUACCUAUAUGGUUCAAGAUGAUGAUCAUAAGUGCAUGCAUCAUUUUGCAGAUUCUCAACCAGGAUGAUGCAGUUUUACAAUUUCCAUGGAGGUGAUUGAUGAUGAUAAAUAAUUGGUGAAGUAGGCCUAAUAGAACAGCGACUAGACCACAAAGAGAAAUACAACCUACAGCAGUUAUAUGAGACUGGUGUAACAGAUGUUUUCAUUCAAGAAAUCCAACAAUUCAAGAGUCUGACUUAGGAACCACUUGAUGAAGAUGGAAAAGGUUUUUUUUUUUUCCA